AAGGUACUUCAGGUCACCUCGUUCAGUUACCUUAAUAACACAAGCUCGCUAGCUUUACAUUUUUAAACAAUUUGUUGACAUUGUUAUUCGUGGUAUUGAGUCACUCCAAGUGUAUGUUAUUCCACGUUACCUUUUCCAGAGAGGAGGUGCUAUCAGGCGAAGCACUUCCGCAUAGUUUUAGGUCAAGAUCAGGUACUUGAAGUUAGCCAUCGUCGACAUGCUAACUAACUCAUCAACUCUAUAUAACUUUGGACCGUAUUGCUCAUUUUAUUGAUCCAAAGGACAACAAGCUGCCUACAUCUGACUGAUAAGGCAACAUACGACGAGUCAAAAUCUUCAGACCUGAAAAGAAAGAAAUCAGUGUGUCGCCCGUGAUCACCGCUCUGGAGGGCUUUCCCACCAUGGAUCGAUUUCCCGCUGACCUUUAGGUCGGACACGACCACACCAGCGUCAAGACCUGCCGUCAUCAACAGGAGCGCUGACAGGAAGGAGACUGGAAAGAUGCAAAAGGUGCAGAUACGCGCUAUGAAGAAGUUGCCUGCAGGGCAGAUGUUAAACACACUGUGACUGAGACACCGAGAAAUGUGGAAAACCAAGCGGUUCUUCGGCUUAAAUUCAAGCUGGCAGUCUUGAACCAUCACGUUUGUCCAUCAAACAGCGGCGUUCCUGUCCGUCAAAAGGUCACAUGAGAGCAGCUUGCCCGGACAUGGAGGCCUCAGAAAUCCUUCUGCUGUGAAAGCGAUCCACUCAGCCCACACAGAGGUGGGUAGCAAUCGAUGGGGAUGCACACUGGGGCCCCUGGCGAGAGAGACCCAAGCCAUCUGGAUAUGUUAGCGGGCUGACAGAGGAGGCCCACUGUGCAGGUAUACAGCGAGGGUGGAAUGGGCUGAGAUUUUGCCAAGACUGGUGGUAACACACACAGAAUCCUACACGCUCCUCACGAUGGCAGAAUGCCUCUGUAAACAUCUGUCAGCCAUUGCUUCCCCUCCUCCCCGCCUCCUUAUACCUCAGCAAUUCAGCAUGCCCUUUGACCUCCAGCUGAAGAAAGAGCAACUGUGAGCUUGUACCAAAAUCAAACAUACAACUUCAGCUUGUAUGUGGAUGAAUUAGGGGAUUAAUUGUUUUCUUAGAAUUAUUACGUGCAUAAAUCACACUCACUGGGGUUGUUGCAUGUAAUAUUGAUUGUGGAAUUCAAAGUUUCUCUUUUUGUUUAGUUCAUAAGGUUCGAGUCACUAGAAGGUUUGAUCCACGAUAAUAUAAACCCAUCUGUAGACUAUAGUACCAGAGACUGGACGACAUAGACCAGAGACCCUGAUCAGGCUCUCCCACCGCUUCCCCUCUGGAGCCUCAGGUUUCCCUUCCAUGCUUCCCUCCUCCCCUGCUCCCAGCAAGCCUCCGCAGGCCUCUCUCCACACAUCAAUUAUAGCCUAUCCCCUGCAGCUCCGGCCCCUCCAAUUUUUGACCCCAGGGGUGAGCGAGUCAGCGAGGUUAGAGGUUGUUCUCCCCGCAGCUCGCCCCGGCAUCUCUCAGAAGUCUAGUGCAGCACUAACUGGACUGUCAGGCGGCAUCAAGACCCCUUUCAUUAGUCAACUGGGCACCCGUGCACCAAAUAAGUUUGCAUUUACACAAGUUAUGUUUCCAUGGGAAAAAAAACAGCCCCUAAAGACACCCAUGUAUUCUCCAAACGGUGUGGUGAACGCUCUAUCAAAGGGAACAAGCCAAGUAAAACAGGAGUAACUCAAAUUCACGACUUUAGUAAGUUUAUACUUUCCAUCACCGCUGUAUUAUUAUCCAGUGUAAAUCUUAUCAUCGGUCAAUCUUUGGCGGGAAUCCCCAAAAGCAUCUUGUAUUUCUCGGCUCUACAGCUGACACUAAAUCUCCAUUGCUACUCAGCACAGUGUCACAAUGGGUCAAUCUGUGCUGUGUAUACAUAUUUUUGUAUGUAUUGAAAACUUCCCCACCAGAUGGCGCUGUUUUUUUUUCUUAUUCUUAUCAUGCAUUUAUAUUUAAUACAGAACAAGUAUUCAAAUGCAAAUUGUGGAUUAUGUAUUUGUCUCAUAAUCUUUAGCAGGCAUGUCUGGCAUAUGUGAUGGGCUAUUUUAUUGAGCCUUGUGAAUUCUGCCUGGCAACAAAUGAGCAUGUUUAUGCUUUGAGUUCAACUCUUAUUUUAGUUGUUUGUUGCUAAAAAAAAUAAUCUUAGAAAAUUUUCUUAUUCUGUGGCCUACCUAUUUUUUUUUACAUAUAAAUGUGUUUACAUAUUUAUAAUUACUUUGACUAAUAUAAAAGUGUGGAGUACUGUAGUUACAAAUAACAAUAGGACUCAACCGGGUUAAACAACUGGUGUUUUUUUUUUUCUUUUUUAAAACCGUGUGGCACUCGACCUCGCGGAAGAGCCGCACUGUAUUUCUGUCAUGGUCCCCGGACCUGGCUGUGUCAAUAGCAGACACAUUAUCUCUAAUGGGAAGAGGAGACAGGGGGAGAGAGGCCGAGAGAGGCCGAGAGACACAUCGAGACACAUCGACGGUGUAGGAGAAUGCUCCCGCUAUCGAUUAACGACAAGAGGCCCUCCACUCCACCCUCUCAUGUCCAGACAUCCAGGGUAAUAAGGACCACUCUUCUUCACUAGCUACUCAUCUUCUCCCCUCACCCCAGGUAGAAAGCCUUUUAAUCAGCUCCCAUGGGGAUACAUGCAUAUGAUAUGGGGGAAUAAGGAGGGACAGUGUGAAGAGUCCAUUAGUGAGGCAGACACAAUAGCUGCAGCACGGACAGAAUGAAAUCUCCUCAAACGCAGCCGUGACAGCCCUCUCCUGAUUAAUAUACGCAUAAAAUGGCCGGCCACAUGCAACCCAUUGGACACGUUUUCAGCCUCCUCUACCAUUUUCAAAGAGACCCCUCUUUAAGGCCGUCAGUAUUUAUGUGUGUGCAUGUGUGAGUCUGCGGUGGUAACGUUCCAAAUUACCAGCACACAUCAUGCAAGGCUGUUUUUCUUCAGUCCGGACCAUUUUCCUCUGUUUAUGUAGGGCUUUUCUGUUUUCUUUUCCAAGAAGAGAUGGCUGCCAGUCUCAGAAAGGCAGACCCAUUUUAUCAAGGAGGCCAUCUCAGACUCAUGACAUCAAAUCCAGAACUUGCUUCUCAUGCUAAGAGAAAGAAAGGACAAGGAGUGGAAAAAAAGGAGUCCUGUCAGCACCGAGGCCCACUGUUAAGCCCUCCUUAUUCUUUAGAGAUGGGUGGAGAAGAAAAUGUGGAGUACAGUUGCACAAUAUAGAAACUUGUACAGUGUCCAUUCAUGGAGAAGUAAAGCAGCACGUAGCAUCAUAGAGCAUCAAUUCUGCAUCCAGGUCCAAUUUGCUUUCUCAAAGGGUUUGUAUUGUCGCCAAAAGCUGCACAAUUCUGACCCCUAGUGGCUUUAAAUUAAACUAAAACCCAAAGCUUCUGUGGUGACUGUGAUAGCAACAGAAAUAAAAUAGUGGAGCCUUUUCCGCCUUUACAUGAUUUAGUUUUGUAAUAAAAUAGGGGUUCUACUUAUUAAAUAAAGCAGACAACUAGAUUAAAAUGGUUCACAUUCCGCAGGGCCGUCUGCUUAUUCUGCCAAGUAUUAAAACAAAUAAUGUAUUGAAAGAGAAAUGAAAUAAAGAAAUACAAUUUGAUUCAACUAACAAUCCGCUCACAAUGAGCAAGAUGUAAAACGGUCUAUCUCCACUGCGGGGCGCUAAAGAGUAUAGCAGAGGAGAGAGAGAGAGAGAGCAACGGUGCCUUCUUUGAUUGGUUGAUACAUUGUGACGAAACCGAGGUUCUAAACCAAUAGAGUGCAAUGAUGCGGAUACUUGCGUGUCAUUGGCCAAACCGUCCUGUCAAUCAAGCACGGAAGAGGUCUGAAGGAAGCUAGGCGGCCAGUGUGAUGUUUUGCUUUCUGGAGGACAGAGCUCCUCUACUGUGUCGCUUUACACACACACACACACACACACACACACACACACACACACACAUCCAUACACACUAUAGACAAAUACCUAUAUCAGAAAAAUAUAUAUGUGACAAAUUUGACAAUGGAAACGACCAUUCUCAACUUAUCGUUGAGCAUGAUAAUUAUACAAAAACAUGUAGUUGUGUUAUUUUAGAACUAAUUUAGUGAUACAAAAUAUAGAUUUCCUGAAAGAAUAUAUCUGUAUAAAUGUAAAUAUAAAAUACACUUUUACAUUUAAUAGUGAAAUUCGGUACGUCUUACUCUUUUUAUUUUUUGCAUUUAUAAUUAUGAUUCAUUGACUGAUUAUUGUAAAUAUGGUUGUAUUCUAAAUAAUGUUUCACGUAUUAAUUAUUGUUUUAUAAGUAGUUAGACUG